rnacentral:rRNA from 1 species
AGAGUUUGAUCAUGGCUCAGGACGAACGCUGGCGGCGUGCUAACACAUGCAAGUCGAACGAAGUGACUCCGAGAGAAAUUUUCGGAUGGAUCGAAGAGUCAUCUUAGCGGCGGACGGGUGAGUAACGCGUGAGAAACCUGCCUUUCACAAAGGGAUAGCCUCGGGAAACUGGGAUUAAUACCUUAUGAAACUGAAUUACCGCAUGGUAGAUCAGUCAAAGCGAAUAAGCGGUGAAAGAUGGUCUCGCGUCCUAUUAGCUAGUUGGUGAGGUAACGGCUCACCAAGGCUUCGAUAGGUAGCCGGCCUGAGAGGGUGAACGGCCACACUGGAACUGAGACACGGUCCAGACUCCUACGGGAGGCAGCAGUGGGGAAUAUUGCACAAUGGAGGAAACUCUGAUGCAGCGACGCCGCGUGAAUGAUGAAGGCCUUCGGGUUGUAAAGUUCUGUCCUUGGGGAAGAUAAUGACGGUACCCAAGGAGGAAGCCCCGGCUAACUACGUGCCAGCAGCCGCGGUAAUACGUAGGGGGCGAGCGUUGUCCGGAAUUAUUGGGCGUAAAGGGUUCGCAGGCGGUCUGAUAAGUCAGAUGUGAAAGGCGUAGGCUCAACCUACGUAAGCAUUUGAAACUGUCAGACUUGAGUUAAGGAGAGGAAAGUGGAAUUCCUAGUGUAGCGGUGAAAUGCGUAGAUAUUAGGAGGAAUACCAGUGGCGAAGGCGACUUUCUGGACUUAUACUGACGCUGAGGAACGAAAGCGUGGGGAGCAAACAGGAUUAGAUACCCUGGUAGUCCACGCCGUAAACGAUGAGUGCUAGGUGUUGGGGGUCAAACCUCGGUGCCGCAGCUAACGCAUUAAGCACUCCGCCUGGGGAGUACGUACGCAAGUAUGAAACUCAAAUGAAUUGACGG